GUGCUAUAGACAGCAACUGUGUGUAAGUUGUUGGCUCCAAUUCAGUAACUGCACAGAAGCCAAAUCCAUCCUGCUUCCUGUGGAGAGAGUAUCAGGAUAAAAGAAACUGCUGCUGCAGUUUCCUAGAGUCUGCAAAGAAACGACUGCUAUUCUUACGUAAAUGUGCAUGCAGCCAUCAGUCAGCGAGAGAACUCACUGGGGAAAGCUUAAACUGGUCCUAAACCUGGAAUAUAAGUUCAUGGAAGAUGAAGGCAGGAAAGGAGUAAGCAAAGAGUGGAUAUAGC
rnacentral:lncRNA from 1 species